AUGGCAUAAGAAGUUUGUGUGUAUGAGUAGAAAUAUGAAGAGGUUUUAUGUGAAGGUUUAUGUUUGGAAAGAGAGAGUUUUUAUGGUUGUGAUAAUGGUAGUAUGUUGUAAUAGUUUAUGAGUGGUUAGUUGCUCAUAAAGUGAGAGUGAACAUGGUUUGAAGUGGAUGUAGGGAGAUUUGUUAUGGUGAGUUAUGUAUGUGAGUAUAUGUAAUUUGUAUGGUAGAAAGAAAAUGAUAGUAUUUUG
rnacentral:lncRNA from 1 species